rnacentral:misc_RNA from 1 species
GUAAAUUAUCAUGUCAAUUUCACUUUUCUAUUUUAUGAAAAGGAAAAGGAUUUACAAAUUAAUUAAUAACAACAUGUAGCCAACCUCAAUAGCAAUCACUCUGUUUAUUUGAUCACUAAAUACUUGUAAAUUACUUAAAAAGAAGGGGAAAACAAAACCAAAAAUAUAGGAGUAGAUGAAAGAUACCUAGGAACAGAGAUUUGACAUUGAACAAGAUGUUCACACAAAUGAUUUCACAGUUAUAUUACCAUUAAAAACAAAUAACAGAACACUGAACACAUCAAGUUUCCACUUGGAAUCGAAAUCAAUUAUUAACACCGUAGGGAAAAUAACUAAUAUCUAAUUAAGCAUUACCAACCAGCAUAUCUUAGCCAGAUCCAUGUCCAACAAUGGACAAGAAUGCAGUCUUCAUAUUCUCCAUAAAUAGCAACCUCCAAACACAUUCAAACCUUUACCUCUACCACCAUAGCGCAAUGUUGAUGUAGGCGAUUUAAUGUUGCGCUUGUUAUCUUUAUCAUUAUCAUCAUCACCAUCGUCACCAUCGUCUUGUUCGUCACCAUUGAUUGUAUAAUGAAUUGGAGAUCUUGAACAUGAAAAAAAUGAACGGUUUCGAAAUUUCGAGUUCUUGAAGGUUGAUGAGGAUGAAUAAUAGAAUGACGACAACGAUGAUGAAGAAGAUGAUGUUGUAGUAGAAGACAUGGAAGAUGAAGGUGAGACAUGAGUCUUCUUUUUACCAUGGAAGAUGGUGCUCAUGAUGCUUUGUUUUAAUGAUCUUUUGUACAUGGAUUUUGAUUUAAGAGUGGAAUAAUAUGAAGGAGGGGGUGUCAAAGGAGGAUUAAUAGAAGUAUUACCAAGAGUGUGCUUAGGAGUACCUGGUCUUGUCUCCCACAUGAAUGGAAUUGCACCUGAAGUUCCUCCAUAGUAAACCC